rnacentral:rRNA from 1 species
GAUGAACGCUGGCGGCGUGCCUAAUACAUGCAAGUCGAGCGAACAGACGAGGAGCUUGCUCCUCUGACGUUAGCGGCGGACGGGUGAGUAACACGUGGAGAACCUACCUAUAAGACUGGGAUAACUUCGGGAAACCGGAGCUAAUACCGGAUAAUAUAUUGAACCGCAUGGUUCAAUAGUGAAAGACGGUUUUGCUGUCACUUAUAGAUGGAUCCGCGCCGCAUUAGCUAGUUGGUAAGGUAACGGCUUACCAAGGCAACGAUGCGUAGCCGACCUGAGAGGGUGAUCGGCCACACUGGAACUGAGACACGAUCCAGACUCCUACGGGACGCAGCAGUAGGGAAUCUUCCGCAAUGGGCGAAAGCCUGACGGAGCAACGCCGCGUGAGUGAUGCAGGUCUUCGGCUCGUAAAACUCUGUUAUUAGGGAAGAACAAAUGUGUAAGUAACUAUGCACGUCUUGACGGUACCUACUCAGAAAGCCACGGCUAACUACGAG